AUUGAACGCUGGCGGCAGGCCUAACACAUGCAAGUCGAGCGGAUGAAGGGAGCUUGCUCCUGGAUUCAGCGGCGGACGGGUGAGUAAUGCCUAGGAAUCUGCCUUGUAGUGGGGGAUAACGUCCGGAAACGGGCGCUAAUACCGCAUCCGUCCUGAGGGAGAAAGUGGGGGAUCUUCGGACCUCACGCUAUCAGAUGAGCCUAGGCCGGAUUAGCUAGUUGGUGGGGUAAAGGCCUACCAAGGCGACGAUCCGUAACUGGUCUGAGAGGAUGAUCAGUCACACUGGAACUGAGACACGGUCCAGACUCCUACGGGAGGCAGCAGUGGGGAAUAUUGGACAAUGGGCGAAAGCCUGAUCCAGCCAUGCCGCGUGUGUGAAGAAGGUCUUCGGAUUGUAAAGCACUUUAAGUUGGGAGGAAGGGCAGUAAGUUAAUACCUUGCUGUUUUGACGUUACCAACAGAAUAAGCACCGGCUAACUUCGUG
rnacentral:rRNA from 1 species